rnacentral:rRNA from 1 species
AUGNCUCAGGAUGAACGCUAGCGGCAGGCUUAACACAUGCAAGUCGAGGGGUAACGGGGAGAGCUGCUUUUCUGCUGACGACCGGCGCACGGGUGCGUAACGCGUAUACAAUCUACCUUAUACUGGGGUAUAGCCUUUAGAAAUGAAGAUUAAUCCCCCAUAGUCUCUUUUUGUGGCAUCACUAAAGGAGUAAAGGUUACGGUAUAAGAUGAGUAUGCGUUCUAUUAGUUUGUUGGUGUGGUAACGGCACACCAAGACUACGAUAGAUAGGGGCCCUGAGAGGGGGAUCCCCCACACUGGUACUGAGACACGGACCAGACUCCUACGGGAGGCAGCAGUGAGGAAUAUUGGACAAUGGAGGCAACUCUGAUCCAGCCAUGCCGCGUGUAGGAUGACUGCCCUAUGGGUUGUAAACUACUUUUAUACAGGAAGAAACACCUCUACGUGUAGAGGCUUGACGGUACUGUAAGAAUAAGGAUCGGCUAACUCCGUG